AGUUACAAAGCUAAAUACAUAAGCAUUAUGCCUUGAAAACAUAAAGAAGGAGUUAAAACCUCCUAGUAACUU
rnacentral:tRNA from 1 species